rnacentral:rRNA from 1 species
UACGUAGGGGGCAAGCGUUGUCCGGAAUCAUUGGGCGUAAAGAGCGUGUAGGCGGCCCGGUAAGUCCGCUGUGAAAGUCCAGGGCUCAACCCUGGGAUGCCGGUGGAUACUGUCGGGCUCGAGUCCGGAAGAGGAGUGUGGAAUUCCUGGUGUAGCGGUGAAAUGCGCAGAUAUCGGAAGGAACGCCGGUGGCGAAAGCGCACGACUGGUCCUCUUCUGACGCUGAGGCGCGAAAGCCAGGGGAGCAAACGGG